AUCUAUCAUUUAAAAAUUACUUGUAUAUCGUCGAAAUAUGGUCGACAGUCUCUACCCGAUACCGUAAAUAUCGGACUAUAAGUAAAAAUCGUGCCUGU
rfam:Enterococcus casseliflavus EC20, complete genome.